AGUGAACGCUGGCGGUAGGCCUAACACAUGCAAGUCGAACGGCAGCACAGUAAGAGCUUGCUCUUACGGGUGGCGAGUGGCGGACGGGUGAGGAAUACAUCGGAAUCUACUUUUUCGUGGGGGAUAACGUAGGGAAACUUACGCUAAUACCGCAUACGACCUACGGGUGAAAGCAGGGGAUCUUCGGACCUUGCGCGAUUGAAUGAGCCGAUGUCGGAUUAGCUAGUUGGCGGGGUAAAGGCCCACCAAGGCGACGAUCCGUAGCUGGUCUGAGGGGAUAAUCAGCCACACUGGAACUGAGACACGGUCCAGACUCCUACGGGAGGCAGCAGUGGGGAAUAUUGGACAAUGGGCGCAAGCCUGAUCCAGCCAUACCGCGUGGGUGAAGAAGGCCUUCGGGUUGUAAAGCCCUUUUGUUGGGAAAGAAAAGCAGCAGGUUAAUACCCCGCUGUUCUGACGGUACCCAAAGAAUAAGCACCGGCUAACUUCGUG
rnacentral:rRNA from 1 species